GAUGAACGCUGGCGGCGUGCUUAACACAUGCAAGUCGAGCGAUGAAGUUCCUUCGGGAAUGGAUUAGCGGCGGACGGGUGAGUAACACGUGGGUAACCUGCCUCAUAGAGGGGAAUAGCCUUUCGAAAGGAAGAUUAAUACCGCAUAAGAUUGUAGUAUCGCAUGAUACAGCAAUUAAAGGAGUAAUCCGCUAUGAGAUGGACCCGCGUCGCAUUAGCUAGUUGGUGAGGUAACGGCUCACCAAGGCGACGAUGCGUAGCCGACCUGAGAGGGUGAUCGGCCACACUGGGACUGAGACACGGCCCAGACUCCUACGGGAGGCAGCAGUGGGGAAUGUUGCACAAUGGGGGAAACCCUGAUGCAGCAACGCCGCGUGAGUGAUGACGGUCUUCGGAUUGUAAAACUCUGUCUUCAGGGACGAUAAUGACGGUACCUGAGGAGGAAGCCACGGCUAACUACGUGCCAGCCGCCGCCGUAA
rnacentral:rRNA from 1 species